rnacentral:rRNA from 1 species
AGUGAACGCUGGCGGUAGGCCUAACACAUGCAAGUCGAACGGCAGCACAGUAAGAGCUUGCUCUUACGGGUGGCGAGUGGCGGACGGGUGAGGAAUACAUCGGAAUCUACUUUUUCGUGGGGGAUAACGUAGGGAAACUUACGCUAAUACCGCAUACGACCUACGGGUGAAAGCAGGGGAUCUUCGGACCUUGCGCGAUUGAAUGAGCCGAUGUCGGAUUAGCUAGUUGGCGGGGUAAAGGCCCACCAAGGCGACGAUCCGUAGCUGGUCUGAGAGGAUGAUCAGCCCACUGGAACUGAGACACGGUCCAGACUCCUACGGGAGGCAGCAGUGGGGAAUAUUGGACAAUGGGCGCAAGCCUGAUCCAGCCAUACCGCGUGGGUGAAGAAGGCCUUCGGGCUGUAAAGCCCUUUUGUUGGGAAAGAAAAGCAGCAGGUUAAUACCCCGCUGUUCUGACGGUACCCAAAGAAUAAGCACCGGCUAACUUCGUG